CCCACAGAACGAACCAGAAACUGCGUAUACGCAAUAAAAACAAAUACAAAAGAGCGUUCGGCCAUCAGCUGUUUCCUUUGCAAAACCAAACACAUGCGCUGCCGACGCUUCUGAUGCUGAUGGGGAUGAGCAUGGUGGCAGAGGGAGGAUAUGGAGGAUGCCGAUGAUGAAAAUAAAAAUAA